rnacentral:rRNA from 1 species
CAAGUCGAGCGAGAAGACCAGUCCCGACGCUCUCGGCCGACCACUAAGACGGACAGCGGCGCAAGGGAGAGUCAACGCGUCGGACACGUCACCCUCCAGGCCCGGGACAGCUCGCGGGAAACUCGCAGGCAAUACCGGAUAACACCCCCGGAACAAAGGCGCGACCCCGCCUGAGGAGCGGUCCGCGUCCUAUCAGCCCGUUGGUGGGGUAACGGCCCACCAAGGCAAUGAUGGGUACCGGGUGUGAGAGCACGGCCCGGCCCACUGGGACUGAGACACUGCCCAGACACCUACGGGUGGCCGCAGUCGAGAAUCUUCCGCAAUGGGCGAAAGCCUGACGGAGCGACGCCGCGUGCGGGAUGAAGGCCUUCCGGGUUCGUAAACCGCUGUCAGAGGGGAGUAAGUGAAAGGGGGUUUAUCCCCCUGGAUCUGAACUAUCCUCAGAGGAAGGACGGGCUUAAGUUCGUGCCAGCAGCCGCGGUAAGACGAACCGUCCAAACGUUAUUCGGAAUCACUGGGCUUAAAGGGGUGCGUAGGCGGCCCUGCAAGUUGGGGUGUGAAAUCCCCACGGCUCAACCGUGGGAAUUGCGCCCAAAACUGCAGGGACUUGAGGGAGACAGAGGUGAGCGGAACUUAUGGUGGAAGCGGUGAAAAUGCGUCUGAUAUCAUAAGAACACCGGUGGCGAAAGCGGC